GCCAAGUCUUGUUCCAGUUUUUCGUGGAAGAGGGAAUUUCCUGAGAUGUUUCUAGUACCUCCGGCACCGGCUCCAUAUUUGUCCAAAGCUUCUCUGUAAUUAGACAUCACAGCUAGUUCAUCUUUUAUCGAGGUUUAAUGUAUACUAAUGGAUUCCAAGAAACCGGCAUGAAAUCAAGUGCGAGGUUACAUCACAGUAAAAUGGGAAUUACCGAUAAACUCGAAAGUGACCGUAGAAUAUUUAAAAAAUAUAACGUUAUUUUUCUUCUCAGGUGAUUAUGUUAUGAAGAAAAAGAUGAUGCUGCAAAUUCAUCGCAUUUUUUUUUCUUUGUGUGAAAUGAUGAGAUAAAGAGGUGAUGAAUUUUUUAAUGACAAUUUCCGCGGUAAUAACUUAAUAAGAAUUCAGAUUCGAGAUACGAAGGGUUAAAAGUUAAUCGUGUUUUGCACACGAGAUAAAAAAAUGUAUAUUUUUGUGAAAACAAAAGCAUGAGAAUGAGAUUUGAUCGAUCAUUCGAUGAUUCAAAGUUGAUCCGAAUCAAAACCGAUCACUGGAAUUUUUUUUUUUUUUUAAUUUAUUAACGUGCUUUUGAUUGAUUAUUCGAUGCUCCAACUUAAGAAUUCAUUCGACUAUUGAUAUAAUUGAAAUUAAAAUUGAAAAAAAAAAACGAACUUUAUAAAAAAAAAAGUUUGACAUCAAAAAGUGACCAACAGGUAGAAAGAUAUGCAAAUAUACUUUCAAAUAAUUGCUUCUUUUUCCAUUGAAUGACUGAUUUCAUAAGGUCGAGGUUACUAGGACCUGUUUAGCAUUGAUUUGCACCCUGAAGAAGAAUAAAUAAUUUAUUACGAGAAA